GAGUUUGAUCAUGGCUCAGGAUGAACGCUGGCGGCGUGCUUAACACAUGCAAGUCGAACGAAGCGCCUUAUUUGAUUUUCUUCGGAACUGAAGAUUUGGUGACUGAGUGGCGGACGGGUGAGUAACGCGUGGGGUAACCUGCCCUGUACAGGGGGAUAACAAUCAGAAAUGACUGCUAAUACCGCAUAAGACCACAGCACCGCAUGGUGCAGGGGUAAAAACUCCGGUGGUACAGGAUGGACCCGCGUCUGAUUAGCUGGUUGGUGAGGUAACGGCUCACCAAGGCGACGAUCAGUAGCCGGCUUGAGAGAGUGAACGGCCACAUUGGGACUGAGACACGGCCCAAACUCCUACGGGAGGCAGCAGUGGGGGAAUAUUGCACAAUGGGGGAAACCCUGAUGCAGCAACGCCGCGUGAGUGAAGAAGUAUUUCGGUAUGUAAAGCUCUAUCAGCAGGGAAGAAAGUGACGGUACCUGACUAAGAAGCCCCGGCUAACUACGUGCCAGCCGCCGCAGU
rnacentral:rRNA from 1 species